rnacentral:rRNA from 1 species
ACACGACUACAUUAGAUACCCCCGUAGUCCCAGCCGUAAACUAUGCGCGUUAGGUGUAUCGGUGACCACGAGUUACCGAGGUGCCGAAGGGAAACCGUGAAACGUGCCGCCUGGGAAGUACGGUCGCAAGGCUGAAACUUAAAGGAAUUGGCGGGGAGCACCACAACAGGUGGAGCCUGCGGUUUAAUUGGACUCAACGCCGGGAAGCUCACCGGAUAGGACAGCAGAAUGAUUGCCGGGCUGAAGACCCUGCAUGACUAGCUG